GCCCUGGUGGCACAACUGUUAAAGCAUUUGGCUGCUAACCGAAAGGUUGAUGGUUCGAACCCACCCAGUGGUU
rnacentral:tRNA from 1 species